rnacentral:tRNA from 1 species
GCCCAGUGAGCUCAGUGGUUGGAGCGUCGGCCUGCGGACGGAAGGGUCCCGGGUUCGAUUCCCGGUCAGGGCA